rnacentral:rRNA from 1 species
GACAGAGGAUGCAAGCGGUUAUCCGGAAUGAUUGGCGUAAAGCGUCUGUAGGUGGCUUUUUAGGUCCGCCGUCAAAAUCCCAGGGCUCGAACCCUGGAACAGGCGGUGGAAACUACCAAGCUGGAGUACGGUAGGGGCAGAGGGAAUUUCCGGUGGAGCGGUGAAAUGCGUAGAGAUUGGAAAGAACACCAAUGGCGAAAGCAACUUUACUGGGCUAUUACUGACACUGAGAGACGAAAGCUAGGGUAGCAAAUGGG